ensembl:snRNA LOC120100212 U7 small nuclear RNA
UGCUAAAACAGCUCUUUUAGAAAUUGUCUAGCUGGUUUUCUGAAAUUAUUUUUGGAAAAGCCUAG